CAAGAAGUUUAUGAGCAUAUAUCCAAUGUCGUACAGUCAACCAUAAUGCCAUGCACGCUGGUGGAAAAGGCUGUGUUUGGGCUCCUUAGAAUAUGCCAGCGAUUGCUUCCCUAUAAGGAAAACCUGACAGAUGAGCUCCUCAAGUCACUCCAACUGAUACUGAAACUCGAUGCUCGGGUUGCUGAUGCUUAUUGUGAACAGAUCACACAAGAAGUUAUGCGUCUUGUAAAAGCAAAUGCUACUCAUAUCAGAUCUCAUGUAGGCUGGCGCACAAUCACUUCCCUCCUAUCCAUCAGACAUGAUAAAUGCUAGUGUCUCGAAACUGGAUUUGAGACACUAGCAUUUAUCAUGUCUGAUGGGGCACACCUUUUACCAUCUAACUAUGUCUUUUGUGUUGAUGCUGCAAGACAGUUUGCUGAGUCUCGUUUGGGGGAUGUUGACCGGUCUGUUUCAGCCCUAGAUAUGAUGGCAGGUUCUGUUGUUUGUCUGGCAAGAUGGUCUUCUGAGGCUCAAAUUGCAGUGGGGCAGGAGGCUGCUAUGAAAUUGAGUCGAGAUAUUGGGGAGAUGUGGCUGCGGAUGGUGCAAGGACUAAGGAAAGUGUGUCUGGACCAUAGAGAAGAGGUGAGGAACCAUGCUAUUGUGAUGUUGCAGAGGUCACUGGUUGGAGUGGACAUGAUUCACCUUCCUAUUGCCCUCUGGUUCCAAUGUUUUGAUCUGGUGAUCUUUACAUUGCUCGAUGAUUUGUUGGACAUUUCACUGGAGAGCUCCCCUAAGAAUUACUGGAAAAUGGAGGAAACACUUGUCCUAGCCAUGAAACUAAUGGCAAAAGCAUUCUUGCAGCAACUGCAGGAUCUGUCACAGCAGCCAUCCUUUUGUAGACUAUGGUUAGGAGUUCUUAAUCGUAUGGAGAGAUACAUGAAGGUAAAAUUCCGAGGAAAGCGCAGUGAGAAGAUACAUGAAUUAGUUCCUGAGCUUCUCAAGAACAUAUUGCUGGUGAUGAAGACAACAGGAGUUCUUAAGCCAAGUGAUGAUAUUGGUGGGGAUAGCUUUUGGCAAUUGACAUGGUUACACGUGAAAAAUAUAUGUCCACCUCUGCAAUCAGAAGUAUUCCAGGAUCAUGAAUUAGAGCAAAUGCAAGCAAAAAAACAUGAAAUCAGGGGUUCCCGCACCUGAUGAGACUCUGACUGUUCCAUCUAGUGAGAGAACAGUGUGAAGCUAAUUUGAGGAUAGAGUUGCAGAUUAUACUGUGAUUUUUUUUUUUUCAAAAUGUAGUGCCUCGAUAAUGUGCCUGCCUGGAAUCGGCUGCUUCAGUUGGGACGGAGUUGGCUAUCCAUAUUAAGAAUUGAGAAGCUUCAGAAUUUCACUCAACUGAAGAUUUGUGGAGGUACAAAAUUAAGUUGGAAGCACGUCAGAUCUUAAUUCAACAGUGUUGGGGCAUCUAAGUUUUUGGCGGAAUUGCUAAUUGAUUUUUGCACUCCAUAAACCCACAGGAGUGGUUCUGUUGUAGAGUGCAUGGUUCCCUUUUGCUUUUACCAGAGGAACUGAAUAGAUCCCUGCAUAAAUUGUGUAGUUUGUGCUUGCUUAUUGAUCACUGUACCUAAAAUUUCCAAAUUUCACCAUUAUGAAUCUGUGUACUUUGUCAUAUAAUAUAUAUUAUUCGUCUAUCACAUUACAAUGCUUUUUCUGGGG
rnacentral:misc_RNA from 1 species